rnacentral:rRNA from 1 species
AUUGAACGCUGGCGGCAUGCCUUACACAUGCAAGUCGAACGGCAGCACGGGUGCUUGCACCUGGUGGCGAGUGGCGAACGGGUGAGUAAUACAUUGGAACAUGUCCUGUAGUGGGGGAUAGCCCGGCGAAAGCCGGAUUAAUACCGCAUACGAUCCACGGAUGAAAGCGGGGGACCUUCGGGCCUCGCGCUAUAGGGUUGGCCGAUGGCUGAUUAGCUAGUUGGUGGGGUAAAGGCCUACCAAGGCGACGAUCAGUAGCUGGUCUGAGAGGACGACCAGCCACACUGGGACUGAGACACGGCCCAGACUCCUACGGGAGGCAGCAGUGUGGAAUUUUGGACAAUGGGCGAAAGCCUGAUCCAGCAAUGCCGCGUGUGUGAAGAAGGCCUUCGGGUUGUAAAGCACUUUUGUCCGGAAAGAAAUCCUUGACUCUAAUACAGUCGGGGGAUGACGGUACCGGAAGAAUAAGCACCGGCUAACUACGUG